UACGUAGGGUGCGAGCGUUGUCCGGAAUUAUUGGGCGUAAAGAGCUCGUAGGCGGUGUGUCACGUCGGCCGUGAAAACCUGCAGCUUAACUGUGGGCGUGCGGUCGAUACGGGCAUCACUGGAGUUCGGCAGGGGAGACUGGAAUUCCUGGUGUAGCGGUGAAAUGCGUAGAUAUCAAGAGGAACACCAGAGGCGAAGGCGGAUUGCUGGGCUGAUACUGACGCUGAGGCGCGAAAGCUAGGGUAGCAAACGGG
rnacentral:rRNA from 1 species